ACACUCAGGGUGAGAGGGAGAUUCUGAAGCUUUGUGUUUCUUGCUAGCUAGUCAAAGGUGACUAAUUCAUGUGGAUAGAAAAAUAAUACAUGCCAAAAGAAAUUUGAGGAACAAAUUCAGCCCUGAGACAGGUCACGGAAACAGCCCUCCAGUCUUCCUCAAGAAAUGUAGACUGAAUCAGCAUUUACCCACCCCUGGAAAAACGCAGGAGCUGCGCAUUCCUGGGAUCUCAGCAGGGCUUUUGGGAAGAGCAGAACUGGGCUGGAGUCACGGUUUCUGGGCUGACUCUAGAUUUUCCCCGGCUUUUGCCACCUGUGAUGGCUGGAGAGUAUCUGAAGAUGACAGCCAGUGUCCUUAGCUUGUGAAGAUUGGAUGAUGGCCGGGGCCCUCAGACCCCUUGGCCCCUCCUUAACUGCAGGUCUUCAAAAGCCCAACACCUGUUCGUCAUUUCUGUGGCUUCCCAGGGAGUCUUACUCUUCUGCUUCAAGCUGCUGGGUUUGACUCUGAGCAGUUUCUGUGCAGCCACAAAGAUUCUUAUGUGAGACACACUGCUGCUUCAGAGUGCUCCAACCCAUCUCCCCUGAUUAAACACUAACCAGGGCUGCCACAGCAAAGUGGCUCAAAUGGGUGACGUCAACAACAGAUUUACUUUCUCAUAGUUCUGGAGGCAGGUGUCUAGGAUCAAGGUGGUGGCAAGGCUAUUCCUUCUGUUGCCUCCCUCCUUGCCUUGUGGAUGACCGUCUUCUCCGCGUCUUUCCAAGAUCUCUCCUCUGUGCAUGUCAGUGUCCUUGCUUCCUCUUCUUAUGAAGACACCGGUCAUGUUGGGCUGAAUAAUAGCUCCCCAACGAGGUUCACAUCCUAAUCCCUGGAACCUAGCAAGAACCCAGCAGAGUCGAGUUUCAAUGGGAGCAGGAUGGAGAAGAGGUUGAGAAAGUCCUGUUGCAUAGGGGCUGUGCAUGUGUGUGUGUAUCUUUGUGGAGUGAAGAAGGUGUGGCCUUGAUAUCCAGAGGUUCCCCCAUAUGGCAUCCAUGGGGCUUCUUGGAUUCCGCCGUUGUAUUUCAGAAGCUCAUCAGUUGAAGAAGCUGUACAAAGCUAGUUCUGAGAUGUGGCUUUUUGUGGGCUGGGGCCUAAUACAGCAAAACAAAGAAACAAGAAUGCAACAGAAGAGAGUGCACGGCUUCUGAGGUUGCAGCUUUUGGGAGAAGCCAUCUACCAUUGAUGACAGACAUGCCGUGUGGAAACCAAACCAGCCAUGUGGAGAGGCUACCUGGACAGAGGCACAGGGCCAGCAGCAGCUGUGGAGACAGACAUGUGAGCAAAGAAAUCAUCUUUGAUGUACAGCCAAGUUGAGCCUUCAGAUGACUCCGAUUUCAGCCACCUUUGGACUGCAACCACAUGAAAGACUCUAAAUAGAAGCCUCCCAGCUGAUCCCGGUUAACCCACAGUGCUGAAGGGGAUAAUAAUAAAUUGUUGUUUUAAGCCAC
ensembl:lncRNA LINC01823 long intergenic non-protein coding RNA 1823